rnacentral:rRNA from 1 species
CCGAAUGGGGAAACCCACUGCUUCGGCAGUAUCCUGCAGUGAAUUCAUAGCUGCUGGAAGCGAACCCGGUGAACUGAAAUAUCUAAGUAACCGGAGGAAAAGAAAUCAACCGAGAUUCCCUAAGUAGUGACGAGCGAACGGGGAACAGCCCUUAAGCUGGAAUGGCUUUAGAAAAACAAUCUGGAAAGAUUGGCCAUAGAAGGUGAUAGCCCUGUACUUAAAAGGGCCACUCCAGUGAAGACGAGUAGGGCGGGGCACGUGAAACCCUGUCUGAAUAUGGGGGGACCAUCCUCCAAGGCUAAAUACUCCUGACCGACCGAUAGUGAACCAGUACCGUGAGGGAAAGGCGAAAAGAACCCCGGAGAGGGGAGUGAAAUAGAUCCUGAAACCGUGUGCGUACAAGCAGUAGGAGCUCGCAAGAGUGACUGCGUACCUUUUGUAUAAUGGGUCAGCGACUUACUGUUCGUGGCAAGCUUAACCGUAUAGGGGAGGCGAAGGGAAACCGAGUCUGAUAAGGGCGCAUAGUCGCGGGCAGUAGACCCGAAACCGGGUGAUCUAGUCAUGGCCAGGGUGAAGGUGCCGUAACAGGUACUGGAGGCCCGAACCCACGUCUGUUGCAAAAGACGGGGAUGAGCUGUGAUUAGGAGUGAAAAGCUAAUCGAACCCGGAGAUAGCUGGUUCUCCUCGAAAGCUAUUUAGGUAGCGCCUCGGACGAAUACUACUGGGGGUAGAGCACUGUUAUGGCUAGGGGGUCAUCGCGACUUACCAAACCAUUGCAAACUCCGAAUACCAGUACGUACUAUCCGGGAGACACACGGCGGGUGCUAACGUCCGUCGUGAAAAGGGAAACAACCCAGACCCACAGCUAAGGUCCCAAAUUCACUGCUAAGUGGAAAACGAUGUGGAAAGGCAUAGACAGCCAGGAGGUUGGCUUAGAAGCAGCCACCCUUUAAAGAAAGCGUAAUAGCUCACUGGUCGAGUCGGUCUGCGCGGAAGAUUUAACGGGGCUAAGCAGUGAACCGAAGCUUGGGGUGCGUAAAACUUCGGUUUUAUGCGCGGUAGAGGAGCGUUCCGUAAGCCUGCGAAGGUGGAUUGAGAAGUCCGCUGGAGGUAUCGGAAGUGCGAAUGCUGACAUGAGUAACGAUAAUGCGGGUGAAAAGCCCGCACGCCGAAAGCCCAAGGUUUCCUUGCGCAACGUUAAUCGACGCAGGGUUAGUCGGUCCCUAAGGCGAGGGCGAAAGCCGUAGUCGAUGGGAAGCAGGUUAAUAUUCCUGCACCUCGCGUGAGUGCGAUGGAGGGACGGAGAAGGUUAGGUGUACCGGGCGUUGGUUGUCCCGGGGAAAGGCGGUAGGUUUGGAUCUUUGGCAAAUCCGGGAUCCUUUAAGACCGAGCACCGAGACGAGCCUUUAUGGCGAAGUCACUGAUACCACGCUUCCAGGAAAAGCUCCUAAGCUUCAGCUCACGAAGACCGUACCGUAAACCGACACAGGUGGGUAGGAUGAGAAUUCUCAGGCGCUUGAGAGAACUCGGGUGAAGGAACUAGGCAACAUGGCACCGUAACUUCGGGAGAAGGUGCACCCUUUUUGGUGGCUCAUGCGAGCUAUAGCUGAAGAGGGUCGCAGAAACCAGGCCGCUGCGACUGUUUAUCAAAAACACAGCACUCUGCAAACACGAAAGUGGACGUAUAGGGUGUGACGCCUGCCCGGUGCUGGAAGGUUAAUUGAUGGGGUCAGCCGCAAGGCAAAGCUCUUGAUCGAAGCCCCAGUAAACGGCGGCCGUAACUAUAACGGUCCUAAGGUAGCGAAAUUCCUUGUCGGGUAAGUUCCGACCUGCACGAAUGGCGUAACGACAGCGGCGCUGUCUCCACCCGAGACUCAGUGAAAUUGAAAUCGCUGUGAAGAUGCAGCGUUCCCGUGGCAAGACGGAAAGACCCCGUGAACCUUUACUAUAGCUUUACACUGAACGUUGAGUUCGUCUGUGUAGGAUAGGUGGGAGGCUAUGAAACUGUGGCGCUAGCUGCAGUGGAGCCAUCCUUGAAAUACCACCCUGUCGUGCUUGACGUUCUAACCUAGAUCCGUUAUCCGGAUCAGGGACCGUGUAUGGUGGGUAGUUUGACUGGGGCGGUCUCCUCCUAAAGAGUAACGGAGGAGCACGAAGGUACGCUCAGCGCGGUCGGACAUCGCGCACUGUGUGCAAAGGCAUAAGCGUGCUUGACUGCAAGAUCGACGGAUCAAGCAGGUACGAAAGUAGGUCUUAGUGAUCCGGUGGUUCUGUAUGGAAGGGCCAUCGCUCAACGGAUAAAAGGUACUCCGGGGAUAACAGGCUGAUACCGCCCAAGAGUUCAUAUCGACGGCGGUGUUUGGCACCUCGAUGUCGGCUCAUCACAUCCUGGGGCUGUAGUCGGUCCCAAGGGUAUGGCUGUUCGCCAUUUAAAGUGGUACGCGAGCUGGGUUCAGAACGUCGUGAGACAGUUCGGUCCCUAUCUGCCAUGGGCGUUGGAAGUUUGAGAGGGGCUGCUCCUAGUACGAGAGGACCGGAGUGGACGAACCUCUGGUGUUCCGGUUGUCACGCCAGUGGCAUUGCCGGGUAGCUAUGUUCGGAAGCGAUAACCGCUGAAAGCAUCUAAGCGGGAAGCGCGCCUCAAGAUGAGACUUCCCGGGGCACAAGCCCCCUAAAGGAACCAUAUAGACUAUGUGGUUGA